UACGUAGGUGGCGAGCGUUAUCCGGAAUUACUGGGUGUAAAGGGCGUGUAGGCGGCACUGUAAGUCAGAUGUGAAAUCUCCCGGCUCAACCUGGGAACUGCAUCUGAUACUGGCAAGCUUGAGUCUCGUAGAGGGGGGUAGAAUUCCAGGUGUAGCGGUGAAAUGCGUAGAGAUGUGGAGGAAUACCGAAGGCGAAGGCAGCCCCUUGGGAAUGUACUGACGCUCAUGUGCGAAAGCGUGGGGAGCAAACAGG
rnacentral:rRNA from 1 species